rnacentral:rRNA from 1 species
AUUGAACGCUGGCGGCAUGCCUUACACAUGCACGUCGAACGGCAGCACGGGAGCAAUCCUGGUGGCGAGUGGCGAACGGGUGAGUAAUAUAUCGGAACGUGCCCAGUAGUGGGGGAUAACUGCUCGAAAGAGCAGCUAAUACCGCAUACGACCUGAGGGUGAAAGGGGGGGAUCGCAAGACCUCUCGCUAUUGGAGCGGCCGAUAUCAGAUUAGCUAGUUGGUGGGGUAAAGGCCUACCAAGGCAACGAUCUGUAGUUGGUCUGAGAGGACGCCCAGCCACACUGGGACGGAGACACGGCCCAGACUCCUACGGGAGGCAGCAGUGGGGAAUUCUGGACAAUGGGCGCAAGCCUGAUCCAGCAAUGCCGCGUGCAGGAAGAAGGCCUUCGGGUUGUAAACUGCUUUUGUCAGGGAAGAAAUCCUCUAGGUUAAUACCCUUGGGGGGAUGACGGUACCUGAAGAAUAAGCACCGGCUAACUACGUGCCAGCAGCCGCGGUAAUAC